rnacentral:rRNA from 1 species
UACGGAGGGUGCAAGCGUUAAUCGGAAUUACUGGGCGUAAAGCGUGCGCAGGCGGUUUGUUAAGUCUGCUGUGAAAUCCCCGAGCUCAACUUGGGAAUUGCAGUGGAUACUGGCAAGCUGGAGUACGGUAGAGGAAGGUGGAAUUCCCGGUGUAGCAGUGAAAUGCGUAGAGAUCGGGAGGAACACCAGUGGCGAAGGCGGCCUUCUGGACCAGUACUGACGCUCAUGCACGAAAGCGUGGGGAGCAAACAGA